rnacentral:lncRNA from 1 species
CAUCUCUGAGCUUCAACUUUGCGAUUUGGUCGGAUGACAGUCGAAGUGACUUCUUGUAAGAUGGAAUGUUCCCAUGUGUUGGAUGCUCUAUUGGAGCAGCAUCUAUUUUCAAGGAUUCCUUCAAUUCUUGUGAUGCUUCAUCACUAGAUGAAUCAUCUUCUGGGGGUCUACUAUUAACUUGCUCUUUUAUAGUUGCUGGCAGUUCAUUUGUUCUUUGCGUCUCAGACUUCCCCUCUUUUGCCUCUGGUAUCUGUUUAGUCAUGCUUUCUCUCUUGCGCCAGAACCACCACCUUCCAGAUUUCUUUGGCAUCUUUUCUUUGACCCAAGAUUCAACAGUAGCCUUAGGCAAACUUUUCUGAAAUACUUGCAAACUCAGAAUCAUUGGAGCAGCCAAUGCCCAGUUAUAAUACCUGUUAUAAAUCCUUAUUACCAAAUUAGGAUUGUCUAUGAGUCCAGGGUUUUCAGCAAAUUCAUGAUAAGUAAUAAUAUGCUCCAUGAACUUUUCUUUAGAAAUCUCGCCAUUUUCAU